AUGUGUGUGCCGGUGAGCGCAUCCCUGUGGGCACACGUCCAUGUGCCUGCGUUACGGUGCCCGCAUGAGCGUGCACAUGCGGGGCAGCACACCUGGGAGCGGGUGCACGGCCCCGCAGCCGGCACUGCACCAGCGCCAUCUCCCUGGCACUGUCCUGCCUGCCCUCCCGGAAAGCCUGGAGGUUCCAAGAGCACUGGAGCCGCUUGCUGUUCUGCCUCGCUUGUCCCCCUCUCCUCCCCCUCAGCUUCCCCUGUGGAGCUAAAACAGCYGAGCUCUGCUGUUCGUGAGCCCGGCUGGCACGUGCACCCGGGUGCGAGUGCACCGGUGCAUGUUGGAGAGGUGCGUGCAGCAUGGCGUGGGGGCACCGUGCUUGCCCCAGACCCUGCGGUGAAGGACCCAAAGGCUUUCUCCCUGGCAUCCCUCUCGGACCCGCUCCCACACCGGCUCUGUGGGGCUCCCAAAACGGCAGCACCCCGCUGCAGCAGCCUGCAGGCCCCCUGCCCACCCAGGGCUGGUGGCAGCCACGAAGUCCCUCGUUACGUCGCUGGCGCCCUGCCGGGCGGUUCGUGGCCUUUUCUGCCUGUGACUCAGUGUUUGUCUGGAGCCCAGAUGAGCUGGGAGCUGGCGCGAGGGUUUGUUUGGGGGUUUUGCAGCAAGGCUGCAGCCCCGCGACAGGCGCCUGCUCUGGCUUCCCGUGGCAGGGAUGUGGCGACGUGGGGUCCCGCUCCAUGCUGCCCCGGGAACGGCCAGGGACGCGGUGCCCGGUUUGCGAGCUGCGAUGGUGGGGAGGUGUGGGCUGGCGGGACUGGUGCUGGGGCUGCUGGUGUCCGGCAGGACACGUACGCAUGUGCUCCCGGUGGCGGUAGGGCUUGCUUCCCCGGUGAAGUCCCGGCCUUCCUUGCAGGCCACGCACAGGAAAGCUGUUCCAGGUCGUUCGUGGGGUGCGUUUGGCUCACUGGCUCUGCUGCUUCUCUCUCCGUGAACGCUGCAGCCUCUGGCAGCUGCUGA
rnacentral:lncRNA from 1 species